GACCGCGUAGCUCAGUUGGCAGAGCAUUGGGCUAGUAUUCCAAAGGUCGUAGGUUUUGAUUCCCACCGUGGCCA